UUCUGAUAUAAUAUUCACUUUUGUAAGUUUAUCCAAAAUGUAUUAAUCACAGAUAUUCUUUUUCUUUCAUUUUCCUCCAUAGAUGCAUCACUACAUAUAUUCUUAGGUCAAAUGCAACUUGCUCUCGUUAAUUUUGGGAAAGAGAUUUACAAGCUAUUAAUUUGAAAACAAAUAAACAGAUGGAAUCCAUCUGUCCUCUGAAAACUAGCUCCUGUUUAAGUAACAUAACAAGACAACCCACAAGGUACCAGUCAAAACGAGAAUCCCAACCCUCUACUCUGU
rnacentral:misc_RNA from 1 species